CCUACGGGGGGCAGCAGUGGGGAAUUUUGGACAAUGGGCGCAAGCCUGAUCCAGCAAUGCCGCGUGAGUGAAGAAGGCCUUCGGGUUGUAAAGCUCUUUUGUCAGGGAAGAAACGGUUGGGGCUAAUAUCCUCAGCUAAUGACGGUACCUGAAGAAUAAGCACCGGCUAACUACGUGCCAGCAGCCGCGGUAAUACGUAGGGUGCAAGCGUUAAUCGGAAUUACUGGGCGUAAAGCGUGCGCAGGCGGUUUUGUAAGUCUGUCGUGAAAGCCCCGGGCUUAACCUGGGAAUUGCGAUGGAGACUGCAAGGCUUGAAUCUGGCAGAGGGGGGUAGAAUUCCACGUGUAGCAGUGAAAUGCGUAGAGAUGUGGAGGAACACCGAUGGCGAAGGCAGCCCCCUGGGUCAAGAUUGACGCUCAUGCACGAAAGCGUGGGGAGCAAACAGGAUUAGAUACCCUGGUAGUCCACGCCCUAAACGAUGUCUACUAGUUGUCGGGUCUUAAUUGACUUGGUAACGCAGCUAACGCGUGAAGUAGACCGCCUGGGGAGUACGGUCGCAAGAUUAAAACUCAAAUGAAUUGACGG
rnacentral:rRNA from 1 species